GCAUAGCCCUGGCCGAUCUCCCUUGUGGCUAAUGGCCAUUCUCCGUGGCACGACGACGAAGAAGAAGCAGAUGCAGAGUCUCGUUCACUUGUUCGGUUGCUCGCUACCACAUCUUGCCUUGCCUUGCCAUAGCACGUUAGCUCUCACCGCCCGGUAACAUCAAUUAUGGCCGAAAGUCAAAUGAGCUCGAUGAGUGGGAUGAGCGCCAUGUCUGGAAUGUCUGGCAUGUCUGGCAUGUCGGGGAUGUCGUCAGAACAGAUAGGGCAGGACAAAGGCGGU